rnacentral:rRNA from 1 species
CCUCGGGCGGCAGCAGUGGGGAAUAUUGGACAAUGGGCGAAAGCCUGAUCCAGCCAUGCCGCGUGUGUGAAGAAGGCCUUCGGGUUGUAAAGCACUUUCAGUGGGGAAGAAAGCCUUGGGGCUAAUACCCUCGAGGAAGGACAUCACCCACAGAAGAAGCACCGGCUAACUCCGUGCCAGCAGCCGCGGUAAUACGGAGGGUGCGAGCGUUAAUCGGAAUUACUGGGCGUAAAGCGCGCGUAGGCGGUCUGAUAAGCCGGUUGUGAAAGCCCCGGGCUCAACCUGGGAACGGCAUCCGGAACUGUCAGGCUAGAGUGCAGGAGAGGAAGGUAGAAUUCCCGGUGUAGCAGUGAAAUGCGUAGAGAUCGGGAGGAAUACCAGUGGCGAAGGCGGCCUUCUGGACUGACACUGACGCUGAGGUGCGAAAGCGUGGGUAGCAAACAGGAUUAGAUACCCGUGUAGUC